rnacentral:rRNA from 1 species
UACGGAGGGGGGCUAGCGUUGUUCGGAAUUACUGGGCGUAAAGCGCACGUAGGCGGCUUUGUAAGUUAGAGGUGAAAGCCUGAUGCUCAACAUCAGAAUUGCCUUUAAGACUGCAUCGCUUGAACGUCGGAGAGGUGAGUGGAAUUCCGAGUGUAGAGGUGAAAUUCGUAGAUAUUCGGAAGAACACCAGUGGCGAAGGCGGCUCACUGGACGACUGUUGACGCUGAGGUGCGAAAGCGUGGGGAGCAAACAGG